rnacentral:rRNA from 1 species
GAUGAACGCUAGCUACAGGCUUAACACAUGCAAGUCGAGGGGCAGCAUGGUCUUAGCUUGCUAAGGCUGAUGGCGACCGGCGCACGGGUGAGUAACACGUAUCCAACCUGCCGUCUACUCUUGGACAGCCUUCUGAAAGGAAGAUUAAUACAAGAUGGCAUCAUGAGUCCGCAUGUUCACAUGAUUAAAGGUAUUCCGGUAGACGAUGGGGAUGCGUUCCAUUAGAUAGUAGGCGGGGUAACGGCCCACCUAGUCUUCGAUGGAUAGGGGUUCUGAGAGGAAGGUCCCCCACAUUGGAACUGAGACACGGUCCAAACUCCUACGGGAGGCAGCAGUGAGGAAUAUUGGUCAAUGGGCGAGAGCCUGAACCAGCCAAGUAGCGUGAAGGAUGACUGCCCUAUGGGUUGUAAACUUCUUUUAUAAAGGAAUAAAGUCGGGUAUGCAUACCCGUUUGCAUGUACUUUAUGAAUAAGGAUCGGCUAACUCCGUGC